CCUACGGGUGGCUGCAGUGGGGGAUAUUGCACAAUGGGGGAAACCCUGAUGCAGCGACGCCGCGUGAGUGAAGAAGUCUUUCGGUAUGUAAAGCUCUAUCAGCAGGGAAGAAAAUUACAGUACCUGACCAAGACGCCCCGGCUACCUCCGUGCCAGCGGCCGCGGUAAUACGUAGGGGGCAAGCGUUCUCCGGAUUUACUGGGUGGAAAGGGAGCGUAGACGGUUAUGUAAGUCUGGAGUGAAAGGCCGGGGCCCAACCCCGGGACUGCUUUGGAAACUGGGUAACUGGAGUACAGGAGGGGCAGGCGGAAGUGCUGGUGUAGCGGUGAAAUGCGUAGAUAUCAGGAGGAACACCGGCGGCGAAGGCGGCCUGCUGGACUGAAACUGACGUUGAGGCUCGAAAGCGUGGGGAGCAAACAGGAUUAGAGACCCUUGUAGUC
rnacentral:rRNA from 1 species